AGGAAACAAUGUGCUUGACUGCUUCAGAGGAGGUGGGGGAGAAGGAAAAAAGAAAGUACAUAACUCUGCUGCGACCGUUGCGGUGUUGUUAUAGGCCACUGGAGAUGGAGUGAUAUUUCAGCUGCCUCCGUCUCGACACACAAAGUGCUGGACAUAUGUUGAGGUGUUGUAAUUCUGCCACCUAGCCUGACUUCAGCUGAACCCUAAUUCAACCAAACCAUUGGAGGCCUAGAAGCGCAAGGAUGCUUUUUUGUGUUGCGUGAGGAGCAGCUUGACAUGAUGCAUUCGGUCUGAAUGCAAGAAAUAUAAUGCUGUGAGUCAGGGCUUGCCAAUGUUUCUGAAGAUCUACCUUCCUGCAAAGUUCAGCUCCAAAGCUAAUUAAACCUUCAGGAACACUUGAUGAUUUUGUGUUGAAACAAGGAACAAGAUUUGCAAACAAGACUCCUGAAG